GCCUCUGUUUUUUGAUUUGGAGACUGAACGAGUGCAGUUAGUCGAGGGAUUUAAUGUGCUGACCACUUAAUAUACAUGGUUGGCAGGAUCACUAGUAUUUAUGUUCUCAAGAUAUGAGAGACAAAUCUUUAUUGGAAUGUUUGUAUGAUUGUGGCUGGUUAGAGUGUAUGGUCUGGUGGAGAUCAUGCAUAUUAUUUGCUUAUGACACGAUGUAUAUAUAUACUGUUAGAAGUUCUAGUACAUAUAUUACAAAAAUUCACUGAUAAAAAAUGUAUCAGUUCAUUAUGUGUAGCACAUGUUUAACACAUAUAAUUACGAAAACAGUUACUUGAACUAUAUAAGAGUUAAGCUUACACUUGAUUUUCAGUUCAAAUUUUGCGUUCUUUUCAGUACAUCAACUUUAAUGUACAGAACAUUGAGGAAAUCCUGAAAUAUUAUAUGUGCACUCUACUUAUUUUAUUAUGCUAACAAGAAUUCAGCCCUGUUUGCUUAUGUAUGGUAUUGAACUAACCAUGUUGUGUUGUCGCUAAGUCUGAACUUGUGUUCACCUUAUGUAUUACAAUGGCCAUGGAUGCGCCCAGCGAAGGACAACGACAUGCAAAAAAACAUACUAGUGCAGCUGCUUGCCUCCUCUUCAUAUUCCAUACCAGAAAAUAUCCUUCUCCCCUCUGUUUUCUUAAGUAAGUUUUCAUUAAAAGACCUGAGAAUAGCAAGUAGAAGUUUGACAAAAGGACCUACAUCAGUUCAACCGCAGAAAGAUAACAAGUCCAUGAGAUGAUCUAUAAUUAAGUUCAAAAUUACUACAUGGUUAAUGUAUUUAACAUCAAGUCCUUGUAUUACUACAUGAGACUACAUUCGUUCUCAGGAAUUCUACUUCAGUUCAAUUUCUAAAUUUGGUUUAGUUUAAUUCAGUUGAAUAUAUUUGUGCCAAUUUCUUCUUGUGAUGCUUAUACAUAGCUGGAAAUGCAGAUGUUGUUGUUUUAGAAUUUAUCUUUCGGUAUGGAAUUAGGUGCGGUGUAUAGUCAGUUAGUCACUGAUGUUUAUUUAGCUAGUUUGGUAGUACAUGAUAGUGGAUGUCUCAAAAGUAUUUGUAUGGAAUUAGGUGCGGUGUGCAGUCACUAUUGCUCCAUUUCAUGUGUGAAAAAAACUUCCUUUUGUGCAUGUCAUCUGUUUGUAGAAUAUUUCCGAGGGAGGACACAAACAGUAUACACAUAUAUAAUGUCAGUACUUAAUAAGAAGAAUAAAAAGUUCAAUCUCAAAACUUUAAAAAGUUAAGCACAUCAAGGUUCACAAAUCUUGCUCAAUAAGUACCUCAAUUGACCCUAAUUUUGAGCUACUAGGACACAUCAUGGUCUUUAGCUAUCACAUCUCAUUUUUCAUUUAUAUUUUCAGAUCCUAAGGAACUGUUGUUGUCGCUGGUCGUUGCUGUCGGAGCCGUAGCGUGUCGACAAGAUCCUGUAGAGCCAUGAGCUGUGUAUCCGGCAAGCCGGCUGCCGGUCAUGGUUCCACAAAGGAAACAAGAGGGAGCGGCGGCACUGAGACCGAGGGAGACGCACACAGGCUAGACCCCCUGUGUAGAACGAUUGAAUUCUUUGAAUGUUUUUAGGUGCUUCUGUUUGCAAACCUGGAAAUGGAUGUUGGGCCAACCACAAGGAAAUGCCACCAGGUAGGGCGCGAGACGGCUGCCAAGCGCGACAUGAGCCUUUCCGACCCCAUUUCCAGGUGCAGCGCCAGGGAUCUCACUGUGGGGUGCGCGAAGGCACUAGCGACUCUGCUUCCAUUUCUCUUCAAAAGUUCUGCUAACCAAUUAGCCACUAAUGAGAUGACUUUGCUUCCAACUAGCCACUGAAAGUUGUGGCCAUUUAAUGUCACCUUCUACAUUUAAGAUAGGUCAAACUGUAACCUUCCAAUGUUACCGUUUGCUGGCUUAAGAUGCUUUAUGUUUUGUUGAUCUACAGAGUGGCUAUCUGAGAGCUAUGUUGAACUUUCUUAUUAUAGUUUAUACUUCUUUAAAAAACCGAGUUGAUUCUAAAUGUGUUUUCCUCACCAGUUCUAAAAAUCC